rnacentral:rRNA from 1 species
UACAGAGGUCUCAACCGUUGUUCGGAUUCAUUGGGCGUAAAGGGUGCGUAGGCGGUCGCGCAAGUCGGAUGUGAAAUCUCAGGGCUCAACCCUGAAACUGCAUUCGAUACUGCGUGGCUAGAGUGCUGGAGAGGAGACUGGAAUUUACGGUGUAGCAGUGAAAUGCGUAGAUAUCAGGAAGAACACCCGUGGCGAAAGCGGCUCUCUGGAACGGUACUGACGCUGAGACGCGAAAGCGUGGGGAGCGAACAGG